rnacentral:tRNA from 1 species
GGAGAGGUGGCAGAGUGGUUGAAUGCGGUAGACUCGAAAUCUAUUAUGGGCUUAGGUUCAUCGGGGGUUCGAAUCCCCCCCUCUCCG